ensembl:lncRNA
AUAUAGCUCUAUUUUGCUUUUGCCUGGGUGGCAGCUCCACGUUUCCAUAAUUUGGUAAUCAAAAUAUGUAACUUAAUUAAUUAUGUUGUGACGUACUUUUGCCUUUUCUUAUUAUUCUGCCUUCUCAGAAAGGGAAAAAAAUACAAAUAAUAUUGUUUACACUUGUUAUAUACAAUAACUAUCAAAACCUAUUCACAUUUAAUUUGGCUUUCACAGAAAUCCCACCUCUCCUUCUGGCUACAGAGCACUUACUUACCAAGCCCAUGAAAUCGAAUGCAGAUCUUCCUGAUGUGAGAUUUACAUAAAUGUAAGUAAUUUUGUUUGUCAUUGUCAUUAAUGUUGUUGCUGUUGUUGUUUUUGUGAAGUUUGCAAUAUAAACCUAGCAAGCAUCAGUCAGCACAGUGACUAACCUAAACAGAUUCUUGCUUUAUUCACAUAUAUUAUAUGUAAUUAUAUAUACCUGCACAUUGUACCUAGGGUUCCAGCCACUUGGCCCCACCCCAUUGUUGUGACAGCCCUGACUGUACACUGCAUCUGAACAGGGAACAGUCUGCCACAUUAAUGUAUUUUUAAGUGACUUGUUUGUAAUACAUGAAUUUGCUUCUUACAGAUGUCAAAGUCUCAACCUCAUGCUGCCCUCCCCCAUCCUCCUAAAGUAAGUAUUUGUUGUUGUAGUUUUUUAUGCAGUGUCUGUGUCACAUGCUAAUCAUAAUUAUUGAAAUAACUGUUUUCUAACAGAUUUUCCAAAACACUAGUUAUGUUUGUUGUCAUUCAGACCAAUACUACUGCUUAGACAUUGCUUAGUGGUCAUGCAUGUUUGACAAGCUUGUUAUGAUACCAAAACAGUAGGCCUAUCACAAUAAUCGAUAUAUUGACUUAACACACAAUACAUGUACAUGACCUCAAUAAUUGUUGAUGAUGCAAUUUAUCUGCCAUUAUAUUAAAAAAAAUAUAAUAAUAACAACACAAUAACAUUAAAUAACAUUGUUUUCUAUUUGUUAGAAAAUUUACUAUUUAUUCAAUUUUUUAUGGUAUCUAAUAUUUUGAUACCUAAUUUCCAUGAUCUAAAUAUUUUCAGAAUUAGAUGUUGGUUUGUCAAUUGAAAGUGUGUAGAUCUUGCAUUAUUAUGGUGUUAUAUUAUGAUUAUACAUUCAAAGACAUAAAAUGGUCUUAAAAUCACAAUGACAUAACUUGUCGCAAUUGUUUAUGGGGCAAUAUACCGACCAACAAAAAGUUGUUAUCGUAACAGGCCUUCAAAACAGACGGUUUUAUGAUUGAUAAAUUCAAAAAAUAAAUACAUUUAAUUUCUCUGAGAUUCUCUAAUAUUCAGUUACAGUUCACAACACAGCUACCUGUACAUGCAGUAUUAUACUGUAAAUAUAAAUCUCUGCAUUUAGCAUCCCACUAGAAGAGUCACAGUUACUGCCUCUUUUUUUUUUUUUUUUUUUUUUUUUUUACAAAUACCUGUACUAUUACUAACACAUUUACUGUUUUACUUUUAGCCUGUGGAUACAAAUGCAGAUUUCCUUAAUGUAAGUUGUGCAUUUUAAUUACAUCAUGUUAUUUUUAUUAUUAUUUAUUUAUUUUAUUUUACAUUCAAAUAUUUCAAGCUUCUUGGUUAAAGAAGCUUGAUUGCUAGUAGGUAAAGAAUAGUUCACCUAUAAUUGAUAUUCCCAAUUAAUUUCUCACCUCUGAUUGAAUGCCUUUGUUUGUUUGCCUUUUUUGACUAUAACAAAACAUUUUUGCAGGAUAUAUAUGGUGAAUUUAUAUGCAUAGAUACAGUCGUAGUGCUUGACACAUGCACACAGCAGUAGAUGUACUAAAAAGGAAAUAGUUACAAUCAUGAUGUUGAUUGCUGAUGUCAGUAUAUAUAUUUUAGAGGAAUGUUUUGUUUUUCACCCAAAAUGAACUAUAUUGCUUCAGAAGAGAUUUAUUACCCUACCUGACUCUUAUAUAUUGUUUUUUGUUUGUUUUUGUUAUUUUCAGGUUCAAUGGUGCGUGUUCUUCUAAUGGCCGCCUUCCCACUGGAGGUUUUGAUCCACAGCAAUUUAAAAGGUAAACAGCUUUGAAAGUCAGUUCAAAUGGUUAGCUAAUAGUAUUCUAAAAAGCCUACUUCUCUGUCACCAGUUUCUUUACCAAAAAGUACCCAUAAAAGUAUCUCUCAAUAGCAUAUCAUUGUAGUUCAAAUGUUUAGUUGUACAAAUAUCAGAUUUUUGGAAAUCUAAAACUAGUCAAACACUCAAAUGUUUAUGCCUUUUAUAGGAGGACAGAGCAAAACGGACAUCGGCACAGAGUGAAGAACUGCCCUUCACAAGGACACUAUGACAGCCAUAUAUAGUAAGUGAAGACUUUCUGUGUAUCUAAAAUUGCAUACAGCACAAGUAACUUACUGUUAGCGCCAUUUAUAGUUAUUACAUGUUUUAUUUUGAAAAGCCUGAAAAAGAUGUGGUGCUUUUGUUGUGAAAGGUUUUGUGAGAAAUAAAACAAGCGAAUGGCGGAGCGACACGAUGGUUUUACUUAAUGUAAUGGCUAUGUUGUUUCUUCUUGGAGUUCUCUAUUUUUCUUAUAUCUAAAAUAAGAGUCUGGAUGGACAAGAGGCUGUUUUACGCGUCGUUGUUGUACAAACCGACGCGUAAAACAGCCUCUUGUCCAUCCAGACUCUUAUUUUAGAUAUAAGAAAAAUAGAGAACUCCAAGAAGAAACAA